CCCUUAGAUGUUCUGGGCCGCACGCGCGCUACACUGAUGCAUUCAACGAGUUUCUUCCUGGUCCGAGAGGAAUGGGUAACCUUUUGAAAGUGCAUCGUGAUAGGGAUAGAUUAUUGCAAUUAUUAAUCUUGAACGAGGAAUUCCUAGUAAACGCAGAUCAUCAAUCUGCAUUGAUUACGUCCCUGCCCUUUGUACACACCGCCCGUCGCACCUACCGAUUGAAUGGUCCGGUGAAGCCUCGGGAUUGUGGUUGGUUUCCUUUAUUGGAGAUUGAUUGCGAGAACUUGUCUAAACCUUAUCAUUUAGAGGAAGGUGAAGUCGUAACA
rnacentral:rRNA from 1 species